rnacentral:rRNA from 1 species
AUUGAACGCUGGCGGCAGGCCUAACACAUGCAAGUCGAACGAGUGGCGGACGGGUGAGUAAUGUCUGGGAAACUGCCCGACGGAGGGGGAUAACUACUGGAAACGGUAGCUAAUACCGCAUACCAUCGGAUGUGCCCAGAUGGGAUUAGCUAGUGGGGGGGGUAAGGGCUCACCUAGGCGACGAUCCCUAGCUGGUCUGAGAGGCUGACCAGCCAAACUGGAACUGAUACACGGUCCAGACGCCUACGUGAGGCAGCAGUGGGGAAUAUUGCACAAUGGGCGAAAGCCUGAUGCAGCCAUGCCGCGUGUAUGAAGAAGGCCUUCGGGUUGUAAAGUACUUUCAGCGGGGAGGCGUUACCCGCAGAAGAAGCACCGGCUAACUCCGUGCCAGCAGCCGCGGUAAUAC